ACCUUUUGAGUAUGCUAAGUACAGUUGCCUUCCAAGCAGAAAGAUUAAUAAUAUUUAAAAGAGGUA
rnacentral:tRNA from 2 species